rnacentral:rRNA from 1 species
AAGGUACUUACGGCUUGUAUUGGAUGAGUUAAGUAUAAACCCCUUAACAAGUAUCAAUUGGAGGGCAAGUCUGGUGCCAGCAGCCGCGGUAAUUCCAGCUCCAAUAGCGUAUAUUAAAGUUGUUGCAGUUAAAAAGCUCGUAGUUAAUCUUCUGUUAAUUUUUAUAUAUAAUAUUUCGGUAUUUAUAUAAUAUUAACAUAAUUCAUAUUACUUUUUAGUAUAUGAAACUUUACUUUGAGAAAAUUAGAGUGCUUAAAGCAGGCUAUUGCCUUGAAUACUCCAGCAUGGAAUAAUAUUAAGGAUUUUUAUUCUUCUUAUUGGUUCUAGAAUAAAAAUGAUGAUUAAUAGGAACAGUUGGGGGCAUUUGUAUUUAACAGUCAGAGGUGAAAUUCUUAGAUUUGUUAAAGACAAACUACUGCGAAAGCAUUUGCCAAGGAUGUUUUCAUUAAUCAAGAACGAAAGUUAGGGGAUCGAAGACGAUCAGAUACCGUCGUAGUCUUAACCAUAAACUAUGCCAACUAGAGAUUGGAGGUUCUUUAAAACCCCUUAAAAACCUCGCCCGGCCCCCAGCUAAAAAAAAAACGAGAGGGGGCGGGAGAAGGGAGACGAGAAUGA